ACAGGGCCGACGCGGGUCGAAGUCUACUAUCUGUUCUUAUCAGCUUAAUAUCUGAUACGGGUUCUAUUUCGACCCACGAUGUUAAACUUACUGUUGCAAGCGGGGGGGGGGGGAGGGAGUGCUUGAAGCCUGCUUCACCUCCGCCGCGGGUCGGCCCGGUAUUGCACUAUCUUCAGGAUUGGCCCACAGUUU